CAGCCGCCGCGGGAAUACGGAGGGUGCAAGCGUUAAUCGGAAUUACUGGGCGUAAAGCGCACGCAGGCGGUCUGUCAAGUCGGAUGUGAAAUCCCCGGGCUCAACCUGGGAACUGCAUUCGAAACUGGCAGGCUAGAGUCUUGUAGAGGGGGGUAGAAUUCCAGGUGUAGCGGUGAAAUGCGUAGAGAUCUGGAGGAAUACCGGUGGCGAAGGCGGCCCCCUGGACAAAGACUGACGCUCAGGUGCGAAAGCGUGGGGAGCAAACAGGAUUAGAUACCCCAGUAGUCCCUGUCUCUUAUAC
rnacentral:rRNA from 1 species